UCUAAGAACUUAAAUCGCAACCCGAUCUUAUAAGCCUAAGUAGUGUUUCCUUGUUAGAAGUACA
rnacentral:sRNA from 1 species